rnacentral:rRNA from 1 species
GGAUAACCCGCCGAAAGGUGGGCUAAUACCGAAUGACAUCUUGAAAACUUAUGUUUUCAGGAUCAAAGGUGGCCUCUACAUGUAAGCUACUGUUUGGGGAUGAGCCCGCGUACCAUUAGCUUGUUGGUAGGGUAAUGGCCUACCAAGGCUACGAUGGUUAGCUGGUCUGAGAGGAUGAUCAGCCACACUGGAACUGACACACGGUCCAGACUCCUACGGGAGGCAGCAGUGAGGAAUUUUGCGCAAUGGGGGAAACCCUGACGCAGCAACGCCGCGUGAGUGAUGAAGGCUUUCGGGUCGUAAAGCUCUGUCAAGUGGGAAGAACUCGUAUGGUGUUAAUACCACCAUAUGUUGACGGUACCACUGAAGGAAGCACCGGCUAACUCCGUGCCAGCAGCCGCGGUAAUACGGGGGGUGCAAGCGUUAUUCGGAAUUACUGGGCGUAAAGAGCGCGUAGGCGGUCUUUUAAGUCAGGUGUGAAAGCCCGGGGCUCAACCCCGGAAGUGCAUUUGAAACUAAGAGACUUGAGUAUGGGAGAGGGAAGUGGAAUUCCUGGUGUAGCGGUGAAAUGCGUAGAUAUCAGGAGGAACAUCGGUGGCGAAGGCGACUUCCUGGACCAAUACUGACGCUGAGGCGCGAAGGCGUGGGAGCAAACAGGAUUAGAUACCCUGGUAGUCCACGCAGUAAACGGUGAACACUAGGUGUAGCGGGUAUUGACCCCUGCUGUGCCGCAGCAAACGCAUUAAGUGUUCCGCCUGGGGAGUACGGCCGCAAGGUUAAAACUCAAAGGAAUUGACGGGGGCCCGCACAAGCGGUGGAGCAUGUGGUUUAAUUCGACGCAACGCGAAGAACCUUACCUAGGUUUGACAUCCCGGGAAUUCUGUGGAAACACGGAAGUGCCCUUCGGGGAGCCCGGUGACAGGUGCUGCAUGGCUGUCGUCGGCUCGUGUCGUGAGAUGUUGGGUUAAGUCCCGCAACGAGCGCAACCCUUUUCUUUAGUUACCAUCAUUUAGUUGGGGACUCUAAAGAUACUGCCCCGGUUAACGGGGAGGAAGGUGGGGAUGACGUCAAGUCCUCAUGGCCUUUAUGCCUAGGGCUACACACGUGCUACAAUGGACUGUACAAAGGGUUGCCAGCCUGUGAGGGUGAGCCAAUCCCAUAAAGCAGUUCGUAGUUCGGAUUGGAGUCUGCAACUCGACUCCAUGAAGCUGGAAUCGCUAGUAAUCGUGGAUCAGAACGCCACGGUGAAUACGUUCCCGGGCCUUGUACACACCGCCCGUCACACCAUGAGAGUUGGUUGUACCAGAAGUCGUUGGGCAAACCCUUCGGGGAUGCAGGCGCCUAAGGUAUGGCUGAUGAUUGGGGUGAAGUCGGAACAAGGUA